rnacentral:rRNA from 1 species
GUGGGGAAUUUUUCGCAAUGGGCGAAAGCCUGACGAAGCAACGCCGCGUGGAGGAUGAAGGCCUUCGGGUCGUAAACUCCUGUCGACCGGGACGAAAGCAGUCUGGCCGAACAAGCCGGGCUGUUGACUGUACCGGUGGAGGAAGCCACGGCUAACUCUGUGCCAGCAGCCGCGGUAAUACAGAGGUGGCAAGCGUUGUUCGGAAUUACUGGGCGUAAAGGGCGCGUAGGCGGCCCGAUAAGUCCCGCGUGAAAGCCCCCGGCUCAACUGGGGAACUGCGCGGGAAACUGACGGGCUUGAGUUCGGGAGAGGGAAGCGGAAUUCCGGGUGUAGCGGUGAAAUGCGUAGAUAUCCGGAGGAACACCAGUGGCGAAGGCGGCUUCCUGGACCGACACUGACGCUGAGGCGCGAAAGCUAGGGGAGCAAACGGGAUUAGAAACCCGAGUAGUCC